GCUUGUCUCAAAGAUUAAGCCAUGCAUGUCUAAGUAUAAACUAUUUUAUACUGUGAAACUGCGAAUGGCUCAUUAAAUCAGUUAUAGUUUAUUUGAUGGUACCUUACUACUCGGAUAACCGUAGUAAUUCUAGAGCUAAUGCUUGGUGUGUUGGUGAUUCAUAAUAAUUCAACGAAUUGCACGGCAUCAGCUGGUGAUGUAUCAUUCGAGUUUCUGACCUAUCAGCUUCCGACGGUAGGGUUUUGGCUUACCGUGGCAAUGACGGGUAACGGAGAAUUAGGGUUCGAUUCCGGAGAGGGAGCCUGAGAAAUGGCUACCACAUCUAAGGAAGGCAGCAGG
rnacentral:rRNA from 1 species